ACACCAUGAUGAGGACAUUUACGUUGUAAAUCUUUAAACCUUUCCCAUGCUUCAUAUAAAGACUCCCCAUCAUAUUG
rnacentral:snoRNA from 1 species